rnacentral:rRNA from 1 species
CCUACGGGCGGCAGCAGUGGGGAAUAUUGGACAAUGGGCGAAAGCCUGAUCCAGCCAUGCCGCGUGUGUGAAGAAGGCCUUCGGGUUGUAAAGCACUUUCAGUGGGGAAGAAAGCCUUGGGGCUAAUACCCUCGAGGAAGGACAUCACCCACAGAAGAAGCACCGGCUAACUCCGUGCCAGCAGCCGCGGUAAUACGGAGGGUGCGAGCGUUAAUCGGAAUUACUGGGCGUAAAGCGCGCGUAGGCGGUCUGAUAAGCCGGUUGUGAAAGCCCCGGGCUCAACCUGGGAAUGGCAUCCGGAACUGUCAGGCUAGAGUGCAGGAGAGGAAGGUAGAAUUCCCGGUGUAGCGGUGAAAUGCGUAGAGAUCGGGAGGAAUACCAGUGGCGAAGGCGGCCUUCUGGACUGACACUGACGCUGAGGUGCGAAAGCGUGGGUAGCAAACAGGAUUAGAUACCCCGGUAGUC